UCAUUGGAUUAAACUAAAAUACCUCAUUGACAAUAUAAACAAGCACCUGCUAACAACAUAUCCUCUCAAAAUAUAAAGAAAAAAUAUAUGUAUAGGACAGAAUUAUUUUUACAUUUUAUAGUAUAUUAAAUAUUUAAUUAUUGGAUUUGGGAAUCUUUCAAAGCUAAAAAAAAGGAAAAAUCCAGGGAGUGAAAGACAGGAAGCAGGAAGUGAAAACAGGGAAGGAGAUAAAGGUGUCACACCUGUGGAGGGGUAAAAAAAAAAAAAAAAAGACAGACAUUAUUUGGAAGGAAGUGAAACCAGAAGCAUGAAGUGAAAUAUAUCAGGAUUUAGUUGUUGGACAUUUAAUAGUCCCAGGACGCUAUUCUAUGAAGCAUAUUUUCUGCCAUUUUUCUUUUUUCGGACAUGCUGCUGGAUCUUUUGUAUGCCUGGAUUGGAAUCAACAAAAUAAGCUAAGUGAUAAUACACACGCACGCACACAUGCACACACACACGCAAACACACCCAGCCACAACUUUGAGCUACUUGUUGUUUUCUGGUUGUCGGCCAUUUUGACUAACCAGAGCAUGCCUCUGUACAAACAACCCAUUGACCUCAAUUUUAUGACUUUUAACCGAUCCACCAUAGACUUUCCUCCACUGCUUCUUCAGCUUGUACAACAAGUGAGUGAUGUUUGCAGUACUGUGUUGAUAUAAAGUUGGCGUGUGCUGUUUGAAAAUAGUUGUUUGGCCUUUUUUUUUUAGUAGCGAGUCUCUUGAUGCCAAAAUGGAACCGUUCUUAUCAGUCCAAUGGAAUCAAUUUGUGACUUAAGGGUAUUUAGCUGGAACUGUAGCUUGAUAUUCAAUAUGAUGCCGUCAACAUUUUAUUUUGCAACCCAACAUUUUUACAACAACUUAUCCGCAGACUUGACAGCAGCAUUCUUUUUUUUUUUUUUUUGUCAACCUCAACCCAAUCGUACCACAGCUAGAGGAAACGUCGUGUUUAUGUUGGCUACAUCCCAGCUGUUGAUGACAAGCAAGUUUUUCUCCUAAAGUCUGCAUAUGACGAGAAUCGUAAAAUUACUCUGUGAGUUCACAAAAGGGGCAAAGUUAACGUCUUGAGAAAAUGUUAAGGUUUUAAGGACACGUUAGCAAGUCUGCGCGUUGUAAGUUUCGGCCAUCAACAGCUCGUUAAUGAAUGUGCUUUUAUUAGGUGUGUUGAAGGAGGGAAAAAUUUCAAUCAUGCAGGACAGCGCCCCCGCGAGGACUGGAGGACUUGUGAGAUAAGUAAUGCAGUCUUCCACCAUCAGGGGGCGACAGAACUUGCCCACUCCAGCUUUAAUGAAGUAGACGGAAAGAAAAAAACAGCACCACCUGCUGGAUAUCUUGGGGCACUGCCUGUCCUGCCCUUACUACAAAGUCGCCACAGGGAAACAAAUUUGCGGUGCUGCCAUUGCAAAUUGACACCAGGGGGGCCCAGUGUGCUGAUUCAGAACAUGGGGGGGCAGGCUGUCUCCAUGCUGCAGAUCACAUCUGAUCUCUCAUAAUAUUUGGAUCAUAUAUUCAGUCUCGCUGUUAAAUGUUGCUGAGAUACUCCGCCCGCCUGCUUCAAACAAUCUCGACAAGCGGACGUCCUCCUCGCCUGUUGAAAUGAUACAACGCCACGCGUCCACGAAAGCGAUAUUGCGGACGGUUUGAAGCCCGAGGCCCCCUUAAUGUUGCUUUUGUAAACAAUCAAGCCACGUCGGAGGCCGUAGCUCAUGUCGAUGCUUAACAUAUGGUGGAAAACGUCUCUGAAGAGAGUCCACGCAGAAAUAUUUUGACAAACGAGAGCACAUGCAGACCUCCGCCAAGGCUUAGACAUUAAUCAAAGUCACUCUACGCUCAUUAAAAAAAAAAAUCAUUUCAGGCAUUUA